UUACCCGCUGAACUUAAGCAUAUCAAUAAGCGGAGGAAAAGAAACCAACAGGGAUUGCCCUAGUAACGGCGAGUGAAGCGGCAACAGCUCAAAUUUGAAAUCUGGCCCCCAGGCCCGAGUUGUAAUUUGUAGAGGAAGCUUCUGGUGAGGUACCUGCUGAGUCCCCUGGAACGGGGCGCCAUAGAGGGUGAGAGCCCCGUAUAGCAGAGUACCGACCCUAUGUGAAGCUCCUUCGACGAGUCGAGUAGUUUGGGAAUGCUGCUCUAAAUGGGAGGUAAAUUUCUUCUAAAGCUAAAUAUUGGCCAGAGACCGAUAGCGCACAAGUAGAGUGAUCGAAAGAUGAAAAGCACUUUGAAAAGAGGGUUAAAUAGCACGUGAAAUUGUUGAAAGGGAAGCGCUUGUGAUCAGACUUGCGCCCGGCGGAUCAUCCGGCGUUCUCGCCGGUGCACUCCGCCGGGCUCAGGCCAGCAUCGGUUCUCGCGGGGGGAUAAAGGCUCGGGGAACGUAGCUCCUCCGGGAGUGUUAUAGCCCCUUGUGCAAUGCCCUCGCGGGGACCGAGGUUCGCGCAUCUGCAAGGAUGCUGGCGUAAUGGUCAUCAGCGACCCGUCUUGAAACACGGACCAAGGAGUCAAGGUUUUGCGCGAGUGUUUGGGUGUAAAACCCGCACGCGUAAUGAAAGUGAACGUAGGUGAGAGCUUCGGCGCAUCAUCGACCGAUCCUGAUGUAUUCGGAUGGAUUUGAGUAAGAGCGUUAAGCCUUGGACCCGAAAGAUGGUGAACUAUGCUUGGAUAGGGUGAAGCCAGAGGAAACUCUGGUGGAGGCUCGCAGCGGUUCUGACGUGCAAAUCGAUCGUCAAAUCUGAGCAUGGGGGCGAAAGACUAAUCGAACCAUCUAGUAGCUGGUUACCGCCGAAGUUUCCCUCAGGAUAGCAGUGUUGUUCUUCAGUUUUAUGAGGUAAAGCGAAUGAUUAGGGACUCGGGGGCGCUAUAUAGCCUUCAUCCAUUCUCAAACUUUAAAUAUGUAAGAAGCCCUUGUUACUUAAUUGAACGUGGGCAUUCGAAUGUACCAACACUAGUGGGCCAUUU
rnacentral:rRNA from 1 species